AUCAGUUCAGGCCCGUCGCGUUAAUUAAUUAGGCAAGGGCGAUCGUUUUCGUCCACGUACGGGGAGUUGAUCGUGGAAACAGGAGAGCGAACGUAUGGCGACGGCGGCGGCGACGACGACUGCGACCGGGGUAUUGCGUCGGGUGCUCCUGCCGACGAUCAGGCGCCGACUCGCCACCAGCACCGCAGGGCAGCCGGUCGUGUCCUUCACCGGCGCCCGCGCCGGCACCACCGAGGUUGGCAUGCGUCCGUCAUCGCAUACACUUCAGAGUUCAGACAUCAAUCAACUAUAUAUAGAUUAACUAGUGCGUUUCUUUCUUACUAAAUCCAUGGGAAUUUCAAUAAUCUCGCAGGCUCAUCAGGCGGAGGUCGCUGCGCGUCGACAACUCAGAAAGUAGGCCUUCCUUCUUCCUUGCGAUGUCAUCGGCCAAGACGAGCUACUAGAAACUCUCUUGAUCCAUGGCUAACAGUUGAAGGCUAUUUUUCCUUUCCUUGUGCAGGCAAAAGAUGCGGGAAGAUGAACGGAGCGGCAUGGUUCAUGAGGUCAUGGCGUGGGCGAUCAUCACGUCGCCCUUGACCAUCUUUUUCUUCCGGGACCUCUUCCGAAGCCCCAAGCGACCGUAAACCUCAAGAUUGCUGCCAUCCAAGUGGCUCCACCAGCCCAAAUCAUAGUGCAUGCAUUGCCCUUUUUUGUCUGGAAAGUGCUAAUAAUGCUGCUUUAUAGUAUUGUAAAGGGAUAAGUAUAUUUUUCGUCCUCGAAUUCUGGCGAUAGUAUAGGAAUCGUCCCUCAACUCCGAAACCGGUAAAACUCAGUCCCUCAACUAUUUAAACCGGAUACUUUUCAUCCCUCGCGGCACUUUAAGUGGUUUUGGUAUGACGUGGACCCGGUUUUGACUAAAACUGUACACGUGGAUUGUUUUGAC
rnacentral:lncRNA from 1 species